UUCUGUGAGAAGAACGCUCUGAAAACAAGUCCACUCCAAAGCGGUCUUCUUGCCUGAUUUCAGAAACCAAGUAGGGUCAGUCCUGGUUAAUAUAUGGAUGGGAGACCCACCAGGUAAGACCCAGGCUCUUUCAGGUA
rnacentral:rRNA from 1 species